rnacentral:rRNA from 1 species
CCUACGGGUGGCAGCAGUGGGGAAUAUUGGACAAUGGGGGGAACCCUGAUCCAGCCAUGCCGCGUGUGUGAAGAAGGCCCUCGGGUUGUAAAGCACUUUCAGUGAGGAAGAACGCCUGGUGGUUAAUACCCAUCAGGAAAGACAUCACUCACAGAAGAAGCACCGGCUAACUCCGUGCCAGCAGCCGCGGUAAUACGGAGGGUGCGAGCGUUAUUCGGAAUUACUGGGCGUAAAGCGCGCGUAGGUGGCUUGAUAAGCCGGUUGUGAAAGCCCCGGGCUCAACCUGGGAACGGCAUCCGGAACUGUCAAGCUAGAGUGCAGGAGAGGAAGGUAGAAUUCCCGGUGUAGCGGUGAAAUGCGUAGAGAUCGGGAGGAAUACCAGUGGCGAAGGCGGCCUUCUGGACUGACACUGACACUGAGGUGCGAAAGCGUGGGUAGCAAACAGGAUUAGAUACCCUGGUAGUC